GGACACACUUUUCUGUGUGUGCUGUUGUUGACCUUGUUGGAUACACUCCUCUACUGUGGACAUGCUCAAGAUGCUGUGCUGACUACUGACCCCUACUGGUCACC